rnacentral:rRNA from 1 species
GAUGAACGCUGGCGGCGUGCCUAAUACAUGCAAGUCGAGCGAACAGACGAGGAGCUUGCUCCUCUGACGUUAGCGGCGGACGGGUGAGUAACACGUGGAUAACCUACCUAUAAGACUGGGAUAACUUCGGGAAACCGGAGCUAAUACCGGAUAAUAUAUUGAACCGCAUGGUUCAAUAGUGAAAGACGGUUUUGCUGUCACUUAUAGAUGGAUCCGCGCCGCAUUAGCUAGUUGGUAAGGUAACGGCUUACCAAGGCAACGAUGCGUAGCCGACCUGAGAGGGUGAUCGGCCACACUGGAACUGAGACACGGUCCAGACUCCUACGGGAGGCAGCAGUAGGGAAUCUUCCGCAAUGGGCGAAAGCCUGACGGAGCAACGCCGCGUGAAUGAUGAAGGUCUUCGGAUCGUAAAACUCUGUUAUUAGGGAAGAACAAAUGUGUAAGUAACUAUGCACGUCUUGACGGUACCUAAUCAGAAAGCCACGGCUAACUACGU